rnacentral:rRNA from 1 species
UACGGAGGGUGCAAGCGUUAAUCGGAAUUACUGGGCGUAAAGCGCGCGUAGGUGGUUUGUUAAGUGGAAUGUGAAAGCCCUGGGCUCAACCUAGGAAUUGCAUCCCAAACUGGCAAACUAGAGUACAAGAGAGGGGUGUGGAAUUUCCUGUGUAGCGGUGAAAUGCGUAGAUAUAGGAAGGAACAUCAGUGGCGAAGGCGACGCCCUGGCUUGAUACUGACACUGAGGUGCGAAAGCGUGGGGAGCAAACAGG